rnacentral:rRNA from 1 species
CCUACGGGAGGCAGCAGUGGGGAAUAUUGGACAAUGGACGCAACCCUGAUCCAGCGACGCCGCGUGAAUGAAGAAGUAUCUCGGUACGUAAAGCUCUAUCAGCAGGAGAGAAAAUGACGGUACGUGACUCAGAAGCCACGGCUAACUACGUGCCAGCAGCCGCGGUACUACGUAGGCGGCAGGCGUUAUCCGGAUUAACUGGGUGUAAAGGGGGCGUAGACGGCUGGGCAAGUCUGAGGUGAAAUGCCGGGGCCCAACCCCGGAACUGCUCUGGAAACUGUGAAGCUGGAGUGCAGUAGAGGUAAGCGGAAUUCCUGGUGUAGCGGUGAAAUGCGUAGAGAUCAGGAGGAACACCGGCGGCGAAGGCGGCUUACUGGACUGUAACUGACGUUGAGGCACGAAGGCGUGGGGAGCAAACAGGAUUAGAUACCCUAGUAGUC